rnacentral:rRNA from 1 species
CCUACGGGAGGCAGCAGUGGGGAAUAUUGGACAAUGGGGGGAACCCUGAUCCAGCGACGCCGCGUGAGUGAAGAAGUAUUUCGGUAUGUAAAGCUCUAUCAGCGGGGAAGAAAAUGACGGUACCUGACUAAGAAGCCCCGGCUAACUACGUGCCAGCAGCCGCGGUAAUACGUAGGGGGCAAGCGUGAUACGGAUUUACUGGGUGUAAAGGGAGCGUAGGCGGUGCAGCAAGUCUGAUGUGAAAGGUCCGGGCGCAACCCCGGGACUGCAUCGGAGACUGUUGGACUGGAGUACAGGAGAGGUGAGCAGAAUUCCAAGUGUAGCGGUGAAAUGCGUAGAUAUCAGGAGGAACACCAGUGGCGAAGGCGGCCCACUGGACUGUAACUGACGUUGAGGCGCGAAAGCGUGGGGAGCAAACAGGAUUAGAUACCCGAGUAGUC